rnacentral:rRNA from 1 species
CGAACGGGUGAGUAAUGCGUGACCAACCUGCCCCAUGCUCCAGAAUAGCUCUUGGAAACGGGUGGUAAUGCUGGAUGCUCCAACUUGACGCAUGUCUUGUUGGGAAAGUGUUUAGUGGCAUGGGAUGGGGUCGCGUCCUAUCAGCUUGUGGGCGGGGUAAUGGCCCACCUAGGCUUCGACGGGUAGCCGGCCUGAGAGGGCGGACGGCCACAUUGGGACUGAGAUACGGCCCAGACUCCUACGGGAGGCAGCAGGU